UUGAACGCUGGCGGCAUGCUUUACACAUGCAAGUCGAACGGUAACAGGCCGCAAGGUGCUGACGAGUGGCGAACGGGUGAGUAAUGCAUCGGAACGUGCCCAGUCGUGGGGGAUAACUACUCGAAAGAGUAGCUAAUACCGCAUACGAUCUAUGGAUGAAAUCGGGGGACCGUAAGGCCUCGCGCGAUUGGAGCGGCCGAUGUCAGAUUAGGUAGUUGGUGGGGUAAAGGCUCACCAAGCCAACGAUCUGUAGCUGGUCUGAGAGGACGACCAGCCACACUGGGACUGAGACACGGCCCAGACUCCUACGGGAGGCAGCAGUGGGGAAUUUUGGACAAUGGGCGCAAGCCUGAUCCAGCAAUGCCGCGUGCAGGAAGAAGGCCUUCGGGUUGUAAACUGCUUUUGUACGGAACGAAACGGCUCUGGUUAAUACCCGGGGCUAAUGACGGUACCGUAAGAAUAAGCACCGGCUAACUACGUG
rnacentral:rRNA from 1 species